rnacentral:rRNA from 1 species
GGUUAAGCGACUAAGCGUACACGGUGGAUGCCCUGGCAGUCAGAGGCGAUGAAGGACGUGCUAAUCUGCGAUAAGCGUCGGUAAGGUGAUAUGAACCGUUAUAACCGGCGAUUUCCGAAUGGGGAAACCCAGUGUGUUUCGACACACUAUCAUUAACUGAAUCCAUAGGUUAAUGAGGCGAACCGGGGGAACUGAAACAUCUAAGUACCCCGAGGAAAAGAAAUCAACCGAGAUUCCCCCAGUAGCGGCGAGCGAACGGGGAGCAGCCCAGAGCCUGAAUCAGUGUGUGUGUUAGUGGAAGCGUCUGGAAAGGCGCGCGAUACAGGGUGACAGCCCCGUACACAAAAAUGCACAUGCUGUGAGCUCGAUGAGUAGGGCGGGACACGUGGUAUCCUGUCUGAAUAUGGGGGGACCAUCCUCCAAGGCUAAAUACUCCUGACUGACCGAUAGUGAACCAGUACCGUGAGGGAAAGGCGAAAAGAACCCCGGCGAGGGGAGUGAAAAAGAACCUGAAACCGUGUACGUACAAGCAGUGGGAGCACGCUUAGGCGUGUGACUGCGUACCUUUUGUAUAAUGGGUCAGCGACUUAUAUUCUGUAGCAAGGUUAACCGAAUAGGGGAGCCGAAGGGAAACCGAGUCUUAACUGGGCGUUAAGUUGCAGGGUAUAGACCCGAAACCCGGUGAUCUAGCCAUGGGCAGGUUGAAGGUUGGGUAACACUAACUGGAGGACCGAACCGACUAAUGUUGAAAAAUUAGCGGAUGACUUGUGGCUGGGGGUGAAAGGCCAAUCAAACCGGGAGAUAGCUGGUUCUCCCCGAAAGCUAUUUAGGUAGCGCCUCGUGAAUUCAUCUCCGGGGGUAGAGCACUGUUUCGGCAAGGGGGUCAUCCCGACUUACCAACCCGAUGCAAACUGCGAAUACCGGAGAAUGUUAUCACGGGAGACACACGGCGGGUGCUAACGUCCGUCGUGAAGAGGGAAACAACCCAGACCGCCAGCUAAGGUCCCAAAGUCAUGGUUAAGUGGGAAACGAUGUGGGAAGGCCCAGACAGCCAGGAUGUUGGCUUAGAAGCAGCCAUCAUUUAAAGAAAGCGUAAUAGCUCACUGGUCGAGUCGGCCUGCGCGGAAGAUGUAACGGGGCUAAACCAUGCACCGAAGCUGCGGCAGCGACACUGUGUGUUGUUGGGUAGGGGAGCGUUCUGUAAGCCUGUGAAGGUGUACUGUGAGGUAUGCUGGAGGUAUCAGAAGUGCGAAUGCUGACAUAAGUAACGAUAAAGCGGGUGAAAAGCCCGCUCGCCGGAAGACCAAGGGUUCCUGUCCAACGUUAAUCGGGGCAGGGUGAGUCGACCCCUAAGGCGAGGCCGAAAGGCGUAGUCGAUGGGAAACAGGUUAAUAUUCCUGUACUUGGUGUUACUGCGAAGGGGGGACGGAGAAGGCUAUGUUGGCCGGGCGACGGUUGUCCCGGUUUAAGCGUGUAGGCUGGUUUUCCAGGCAAAUCCGGAAAAUCAAGGCUGAGGCGUGAUGACGAGGCACUACGGUGCUGAAGCAACAAAUGCCCUGCUUCCAGGAAAAGCCUCUAAGCAUCAGGUAACAUCAAAUCGUACCCCAAACCGACACAGGUGGUCAGGUAGAGAAUACCAAGGCGCUUGAGAGAACUCGGGUGAAGGAACUAGGCAAAAUGGUGCCGUAACUUCGGGAGAAGGCACGCUGAUAUGUAGGUGAAGCGACUUGCUCGUGGAGCUGAAAUCAGUCGAAGAUACCAGCUGGCUGCAACUGUUUAUUAAAAACACAGCACUGUGCAAACACGAAAGUGGACGUAUACGGUGUGACGCCUGCCCGGUGCCGGAAGGUUAAUUGAUGGGGUUAGCGCAAGCGAAGCUCUUGAUCGAAGCCCCGGUAAACGGCGGCCGUAACUAUAACGGUCCUAAGGUAGCGAAAUUCCUUGUCGGGUAAGUUCCGACCUGCACGAAUGGCGUAAUGAUGGCCAGGCUGUCUCCACCCGAGACUCAGUGAAAUUGAACUCGCUGUGAAGAUGCAGUGUACCCGCGGCAAGACGGAAAGACCCCGUGAACCUUUACUAUAGCUUGACACUGAACAUUGAGCCUUGAUGUGUAGGAUAGGUGGGAGGCUUAGAAGUGUGGACGCCAGUCUGCAUGGAGCCGACCUUGAAAUACCACCCUUUAAUGUUUGAUGUUCUAACGUUGACCCGUAAUCCGGGUUGCGGACAGUGUCUGGUGGGUAGUUUGACUGGGGCGGUCUCCUCCUAAAGAGUAACGGAGGAGCACGAAGGUUGGCUAAUCCUGGUCGGACAUCAGGAGGUUAGUGCAAUGGCAUAAGCCAGCUUGACUGCGAGCGUGACGGCGCGAGCAGGUGCGAAAGCAGGUCAUAGUGAUCCGGUGGUUCUGAAUGGAAGGGCCAUCGCUCAACGGAUAAAAGGUACUCCGGGGAUAACAGGCUGAUACCGCCCAAGAGUUCAUAUCGACGGCGGUGUUUGGCACCUCGAUGUCGGCUCAUCACAUCCUGGGGCUGAAGUAGGUCCCAAGGGUAUGGCUGUUCGCCAUUUAAAGUGGUACGCGAGCUGGGUUUAGAACGUCGUGAGACAGUUCGGUCCCUAUCUGCCGUGGGCGCUGGAGAACUGAGGGGGGCUGCUCCUAGUACGAGAGGACCGGAGUGGACGCAUCACUGGUGUUCGGGUUGUCAUGCCAAUGGCACUGCCCGGUAGCUAAAUGCGGAAGAGAUAAGUGCUGAAAGCAUCUAAGCACGAAACUUGCCCCGAGAUGAGUUCUCCCUGACUCCUUGAGAGUCCUGAAGGAACGUUGAAGACGACGACGUUGAUAGGCCGGGUGUGUAAGCGCAGCGAUGCGUUGAGCUAACCGGUACUAAUGAACCGUGAGGCUUAACCUU